rnacentral:rRNA from 1 species
GGAUGAACGCUGGCGGCGUGCCUAAUACAUGCAAGUCGAGCGAACGGACGAGAAGCUUGCUUCUCUGAUGUUAGCGGCGGACGGGUGAGUAACACGUGGAUAACCUACCUAUAAGACUGGGAUAACUUCGGGAAACCGGAGCUAAUACCGGAUAAUAUUUUGAACCGCAUGGUUCAAAAGUGAAAGACGGUCUUGCUGUCACUUAUAGCUGGAUCCGCGCUGCAUUAGCUAGUUGGUAAGGUAACGGCUUACCAAGGCAACGAUGCAUAGCCGACCUGAGAGGGUGGUCGGCCACACUGGAACUGAGACACGGUCCAGACUCCUACGGGGGGCAGCAGUAGGGAAUCUUCCGCAAUGGGCGAAAGCCUGACGGAGCAACGCCGCGUGAGUGAUGAAGGUCUUCGGAUCGUAAAACUCUGUUAUUAGGGAAGAACAUAUGUGUAAGUAACUGUGCACAUCUUGACGGUACCUAAUCAGAAAGCCACGGCUAACUACGUG